AAAUUACUCCCUCCGUUCGGAAUUACUUGUCGUGAAAAUGGAUGUAUCUAGAUGUAAUUUAGUUCUAGAUACAUCCAUUUCCGAGACAAGUAAUUCCGAACAGAGGGAGUAGAUC
rnacentral:pre_miRNA from 1 species